rnacentral:tRNA from 1 species
AGGACAGUAGCUCAAUUGGUAGAGCAGCGGCCUCCAAAGCCGCAUGUUGGGAGUUCGAGUCUCUCCUGUCCUG